rnacentral:tRNA from 1 species
GGAGAGGUGUCUGAGUGGUUUAAAGUACUGGUCUUGAAAACCAGCGUAGAGAAAUCUACCGAGGGUUCGAAUCCCUCCUUCUCCG